rnacentral:tRNA from 1 species
GACUGGAUAGCCUAGCGGUAAAGGCAUCACAUUCAAAAUGCUAAGGUCCCAGGUUCAAAUCCUGGUCUAGUCA